CUACGGGAGGCUGCAGUGGGGAAUAUUGGACAAUGGGGGCAACCCUGAUCCAGCCAUGCCGCGUGUGUGAAGAAGGCCCUAGGGUUGUAAAGCACUUUCAGUGGGGAGGAAAGUUUUAAGGUUAAUACCCUUGAAUUUUGACGUUACCCACAGAAGAAGCACCGGCUAAUUCAGUGCCAGCAGCCGCGGUAAUACUGAAGGUGCGAGCGUUAAUCGGAAUUACUGGGCGUAAAGCGCGCGUAGGCGGUUUGUUAAGUCGGAUGUGAAAGCCCAGGGCUCAACCUUGGAACUGCAUUCGUUACUGGCAAGCUAGAGUAUGUCAGAGGGGGGUAGAAUUUCAGGUGUAGCGGUGAAAUGCGUAGAGAUCUGAAGGAAUACCAGUGGCGAAGGCGGCCCCCUGGGAUAAUACUGACGCUGAGGUGCGAAAGCGUGGGGAGCAAACAGGAUUAGAUACCCCAGUAGUC
rnacentral:rRNA from 1 species